GCUCUACGCAUGCGCAUUGUUUUAUUAGUUAUGCAUUUACCUCAUAUUUCAUUUUCAUGGACUAAACUACUAAAAUGCGUGUCUGAGUCUCAGUUUUCGCUUUGGACGUUUCUGUUAAAUGACUUAAAGCAUGUCCCAAGUCAUGUACAAAAUGGUUCCCGUCGUCACGUUGCAGAAACUAUUAUGAAAUCUGGAAAGUGGACUUCGCUCAGUUUGCUGUAUUUUCGUGCCCUUCCGAGCCUCCAAGUAACGGUAAGUCGAUGUCAAAAGAAAAACAUGAAGAAAUUCUUCACAUGACAAAGGGUAUGUAAAAUUAGGUCAACUGACAAGGUAUUGAGCAUAAAUACCUUGAUCCUUUGGUGGUGAAUUCAUUGGCAUUUUAGUAUCAUCAUUGCUUGCAGUCUGUAUGAAAUAACAAAUUUUUUAUGAGUUAUUCAGUGAUGAACAGUAAAUAACCAUAAUUCCAUGAAAGAGUGUUGAAUUAGUUGCACACCUGUUUUGGAGUUUUUGGUGCUUUUUGCCUCUUUUUUAUAAAAACAAUUAUAACUAUGACUAUUAUAACAACGAUUAUAGGAACAACAAUUCCAGCAAUAGCUCCACCCUCCAGACCACCACCACUAGAUCUCUCUUUGUUUAUUGGAUUAUCUGUACAAAUCAAAUUUAGUCAUUAGCCUAAUAGCUUAGUAUUUAACAUUUUCCAUUGAAUAUAACUGUAGAAUUUAUGAA